ensembl:lncRNA
AGCCAACAGAUCUCAUCUGCGUGGGUUGCCGGACAGUGGGGCUCAAAGGACAGGCGUGGGGAGCAGGUGAUCUUGGAACAAACACACGCCGUUAUCAGCAAAUGGAAAACACCUGACUCAAAACCAAACAACAACAACAAAAAAGGGAAAUGUACUCACAGGUCUCCGGGCAAAUCUGGAUUGUGGAUUGAAAGCAAGAGGAACGAUGGGGAUGGAUGUUGUUCUGGAGCGGCUGCACGGCUGAGGCUGGAGAGGAGCUGCAUCGGACCUGUUCUUCCUUAUCAGUUUAUUGCUGCGAUGUUCUCCUGGACGCUGGGAUGAAUCAGAGCAUUGCGUUGCCUUUCGUGCUGGCUGGAAUACAUUUCCUGGAGAAUGUGAAGGGUGUUUCAGUGCUAUUAAUGAGUAAUUAACCUGGAUGCUCUGGGUUAGAGGCUGCUUGGCAUUCACUGCUCAUGGGAAAACUCAGCACGAGGAAGUUGGGAGG